rnacentral:misc_RNA from 1 species
GAUGAGAACGCAGUGAAAUGCGAUAAGUAAUGCGAAUUGCAGAAUUCAGUGAGUCAUCGAAUCUUUGAACGCACAUUGCGCCCUGUGGUAUUCCGCAGGGCAUGCCUGUUCGAGCGUCAUUUCAACCCUCAAGCCUCGCUUGGUGUUGGGCCCUGCCCGCCGCGGCCGGCCCUAAAGAUAGUGGCGGCGCCGCCUGGCCCUCAGCGUAGUACAGCUCUCGCUCCAGGGUCCGGCGGUAGCCUGCCAGAACCCCCCAACUCUGUGGUUGACCUCGGAUCAGGUAGGGAUACCCGCUGAACUUAAGCAUAUCAAUAAGCGGAGGA